rnacentral:rRNA from 1 species
CAGUAGCCGCGGUAAUACGUAGGGUGCAAGCGUUAAUCGGAAUUACUGGGCGUAAAGCGCACGCAGGCGGUUUGUUAAGUCAGAUGUGAAAUCCCCGAGCUUAACUUGGGAACUGCAUUUGAAACUGGCAAGCUAGGGUCUUGUAGAGGGGGGUAGAAUUCCAGGUGUAGCGGUGAAAUGCGUAGAGAUCUGGAGGAAUACCGGUGGCGAAGGCGGCCCCCUGGACAAAGACUGACGCUCAGGUGCGAAAGCGUGGGGAGCAAACAGGAUUAGAUACCCCGGUAGUCCCUGUCUCUUAUAA